CACUCUCAAGCCACUCACUGCUCCGUACAGAGGAUGUUUCACUUCCUCUCUCUACAGCGUAAUAUACAAAGAUGCUUCUGAGGAGCUCUUCGUCUCCAAUCUCGAACUCAUCAUGGAUACCCAACUUGCGAGAAUCCGCGCCAGACUCCGAUCACCCUCGCCAACUCAUUCGAACCAAGUCCUUGUCACGCGGUGCUCUGUGUCCCACCAUAGGCGAACAAGCAUUGGGUUCCAAAUCAAGGUCACUGGAGAGGGUGUUGUCGAAUGCUGAGUUGUGGGUCGACGCUGAUCAUGAAAAGGGGCCGCAGACGGUGGUUGCUGGCGGCGGCGGCGGCGGGGGUGCUGGAGGAGGGAGAGGAUUGGAGGGUGGAGAUGGGUUUAGUGGAUAUGAUGGUACGGAAGCUUAUUACCAAAAGAUGAUUGAAGCAAAUCCUGGAAAUGCCUUGUUACUUGGAAACUAUGCGAAAUUUUUAAAAGAGGUUCGGGGAGAUCUUGCGAAAGCAGAGGAAUACUGUGGGAGGGCGGUGUUGGAGAACCCAAAUGAUGGAAAUGCUAUGUCAUUAUAUGCUGAUUUGAUAUGGCAGACUAAAAGGGAUGCUCACCGUGCUGAAAAUUACUUCGAUCAAGCUGUUAAAGCUGACCCUGAUGAUUGUCGAUUUGCCUCUCCACGUGCGAGACGAGAUCACACAUAAGAAGACAUGUUAGUUCGAUAUACAGUGUUGGACCCAUUUACUAACAGCUUGUUGGUGUCAUCUAUAUGAAGGGCCAGUGACAAAUGAUCUAGCUUGUAUUUGAAUGAGUUAUGUUCUAGCUUCGUAUGCGCGAUUCCUUUGGGAUACGGAAGAGGAAGAAGAAGAAGCAGAGCAUUAUGGAAUGGACAGCAGCUUCUCAUCCCCCUCUAACUACAGCUUCUCAGGGUAACACUCAACUACUCUCUGUCCUGAUUAGCAGUCCUAUACAGUUUUCUCCUUUUCUCUUUUUUUUUGUUUUUGUUUUGUUAAUUUCUUCUUCUUCUCACUCUCUUUGUAAUCAUAUGUUGAAUAUAGCCUAUAGGAAACAUGACUUUUAGCUGUAACUUUCUAUCAAUAAUGAAUAAAAUUUUGUACAAAUUAUUUUUGUGAAUUUGAGAGAUGAGAAGAUAUAUGAUA